CCUACGGGGGGCAGCAGUGAGGAAUAUUGGUCAAUGGGCGCAAGCCUGAACCAGCCAAGUCGCGUGAGGGAAGACGGCCCUACGGGUUGUAAACCUCUUUUGCCGGGGAGCAAGCCUGAGCACGUGUGCCCAGGCGGAGAGUACCCGGAGAAAAAGCAUCGGCUAACUCCGUGACAGCAGCCGCGGUAAUACGGAGGAUGCGAGCGGUAUCCGGAUUUAUUGGGUGUAAAGGGUGCGCAGGCGGGCUGUUAAGCCGGCGGUAAAAAUUCAGGGCUCAACCCUGUCGAGCCGUCGGAACUGGCAGCCUUGAGUGGGCGAGAAGUAUGCGGAAUGCGUGGUGUAGCGGUGCAAUGCAUAGAUAUCACGCAGAACGCCGAUUGCGAAGGCAGCAUACCGGCGCCCGACUGACGCUGAGGCACGAAAGCGUGGGGAUCGAACAGGAUUAGAUACCCGUGUAGUC
rnacentral:rRNA from 1 species